GGUAACUGCAUAGAUCGACACGACUCUCGAAGCUGAAUAUGUGGCCUAUUCUAAGAAUUUUACUGUAAGAAAUGAUCCACUCUCUCCUGACAUGACCAUAAUACAGAAACGCAAGGCGUUGAUUUUCGGUGUACAAGAACAAGAGGGGAGGCUCUCAUUUUGAGACUCCUGACGAGGAAUUGCGAGGGAUCCCUGUUUCAGUUCAUGUUGUGAAUGAUUUGUCAGAUAAGUACAUGGUUUAAAUUUCGAUUUGUCCAGUUAAGGAAAACCUGUUAGGUACCGGUCUAUUGUGCUUGUUAAACUAACGACGAAGUCGUUUGCAACGCUUCCAAAUGGGAUACCUCUUUAUCAAUGUAUUAUCGCAGAAAAAGACUAACAAGCCCCAAGAGUCAAACAUGUUCUAAAAAUUAUUAGGUACAGUGUGUGUUUACAUGAUACGACGGUCAGGCCAAAUGUUGGAGGCGAGGUCAUGAACUAAAACAGAGUAAUUCCUUACUCCACCAACAGGUUUAAGAAACACACAGGAGAAAUUUUUUAACUAAAACGCGUCCUUAUAUUUUAUCUAGUGUCCCUUUUUUAGUACUGAAAGGCGUAUCUUUUGGUCUCAUUUUCAGGUGCGAUAUUCAUAACAGCUCUCAAUAACAGAGCGGGUCACCCAUCGGCAGUAUAUUCUGCCGGUAGCCUUGUAUCCAAAUGUCAUCAAAUAGCGGUGGAGAUUUGUGCGUCUUGGCCCUAUAAGAAUUACGUGAUUGUAAUGAGAUAGGUAUCAUCGUCAAUCCCCACAGUACGUGUUCAGAGCAGUCAUCUUAUGACCUUGACCGUGCUACGCAACAUGUUGAAUCGUGUUUGAUCAAACUUGCUCUUUGAACGCGAAACACGUGUUCGUGUAAUGUAGGCCCAGUGACAGGUAAACCCAGAUAGCGCCCCAACAACGCCACGCGUACAGCCGUACGGCGUUUUCCGAAAUGGUAGACGGAGGAAGGAAGGAAAAUCGCUUUUCGGGCGUCUCAGAGUUGACAUCUACUGCGAAGAGGGUGAAAUCGAGGUUGUUGAGUUGGAUUUGGAGCUAUAAUACCACAACUCCACAUGGGGUAAAUCAUACAGACAGCGGUUGUCACGAUGGGCUGAAGCAAAUGUAAUAUAUAAGGGGUUGUUCAUGAAACGACACUAGUUUGACCCUGCGUGCAAGCGUACAAACAGUUCAUUGGAAGGCUCUCAUCGCAUCGUAAACGUUGAAGGAAAUUGGAGAUCAUCGUCAACCAUUUGUAGGAUCACAAAGAUAUAUUUUAUCAGUUUCAAGCUAUUUCGUUCGGUAAGAAGUCUGUGGAUGAAACUUAGGAACUUUGAUUGAAAGCCAUGCACUGUGGUGAUCAUAAAGAUCGUAAAGAUCAGAGAACAGGAAAAUUGAAAAGUCUGGUAUGUUUCCCUCAUUAGGCUGUAGCGGCAUUGUAAGAAUCGUUUCUAGAGGUCAAAGGCGUUUUCAUAGUCUUGAGGAAAUGAUCAUGAUCAUGACGAUCAACUUUUAACUUCCUUGAAGAGAUUGUGCUUCUUUUUUGGAAUUUGAUGACCCGAUUAAGAGGAAGAUUCGCCUGUCUCGGUUUCAGGCACGCUGCAUACAUAUAAAUCAGGAUAUCACCGCUACAGUAACGACGAUAGAUUCACUACGGUAACUUGUAACUCCCAUUUGGCAACUUGUAACUCAAUCGACAGCAGAUUAGAUCACAUCUGGAGCACAGCAUUAACGAUUUU
rnacentral:lncRNA from 1 species